GACGAACGCUGGCGGCGUGCCUAAUACAUGCAAGUCGAGCGGACGGAUGGGAGCUUGCUCCCAGACCGUCAGCGGCGGACGGGUGAGUAACACGUGGGCAACCUGCCUGUAAGACUGGGAUAACUCCGGGAAACCGGGGCUAAUACCGGAUAACUCUUUCCCUCACAUGAGGGAAAGCUGAAAGAUGGCAUCUCGCUAUCACUUACAGAUGGGCCCGCGGCGCAUUAGCUAGUUGGUGAGGUAACGGCUCACCAAGGCGACGAUGCGUAGCCGACCUGAGAGGGUGAUCGGCCACACUGGGACUGAGACACGGCCCAGACUCCUACGGGAGGCAGCAGUAGGGAAUCUUCCGCAAUGGACGAAAGUCUGACGAAGCAACGCCGCGUGAGUGAUGAAGGUUUUCGGAUCGUAAAACUCUGUUGUCAGGGAAGAACAAGUACCGGAGUAACUGCCGGUACCUUGACGGUACCUGACCAGAAAGCCACGGCUAACUACGUG
rnacentral:rRNA from 1 species